rnacentral:rRNA from 1 species
CAGUAGCCGCGGUAAUACGUAGGGUGCGAGCGUUAAUCGGAAUUACUGGGCGUAAAGCGUGCGCAGGCGGUUGUGUAAGACAGGUGUGAAAUCCCCGGGCUUAACCUGGGAACUGCGCUUGUGACUGCACAGCUAGAGUAUGGCAGAGGGGGGUGGAAUUCCACGUGUAGCAGUGAAAUGCGUAGAGAUGUGGAGGAACACCGAUGGCGAAGGCAGCCCCCUGGGCCAAUACUGACGCUCAUGCACGAAAGCGUGGGGAGCAAACAGGAUUAGAUACCCCGGUAGUCCCUGUCUCUUAUAA